GCCUGCGUUGCACAGUGGUAGUGCGUGUCUUUCCUAUUAAGGGAUUGAGACAGGACAAGGUCGCGAGUUCGAUCCUCGUCGCGGGUU